rnacentral:rRNA from 1 species
UGACAGUACUCCUACGGGGAGGCAGCAGUGGGGGAAUAUUGCACAAUGGGCGCAAGCCUGAUGCAGCCAUGCCGCGUGUAUGAAGAAGGCCUUCGGGUUGUAAAGUACUUUCAGCAGUGAGGAAGGUAGUGUAGUUAAUAGCUGCAUUAUUUGACGUUAGCUGCAGAAGAAGCACCGGCUAACUCCGUGCCAGCAGCCGCGGUAAUACGGAGGGUGCGAGCGUUAAUCGGAAUUACUGGGCGUAAAGCGCAUGCAGGUGGUUUGUUAAGUCAGAUGUGAAAGACCCGGGGCUCAACCUCGGAAUAGCAUUUGAAACUGGCAGACUAGAGUACUGUAGAGGGGGGUAGGAAUUUCAGGUGUAGCGGUGAAAUGCGUAGAGAUCUGAAGGAAUACCGGUGGCGAAGGCGGCCCCCCUGGACAGAUACUGACACUCAGAUGCGAAAGCGUGGGGAGCAAACAGGAUUAGAUACCCUGGUAG